CACAUGCAAGUCGAGCGGAGAUGAGGUGCUUGCACCUUAUCUUAGCGGCGGACGGGUGAGUAAUGCUUAGGAAUCUGCCUAUUAGUGGGGGACAACAUUCCGAAAGGAAUGCUAAUACCGCAUACGUCCUACGGGAGAAAGCAGGGGAUCUUCGGACCUUGCGCUAAUAGAUGAGCCUAAGUCGGAUUAGCUAGUUGGUGGGGUAAAGGCCUACCAAGGCGACGAUCUGUAGCGGGUCUGAGAGGAUGAUCCGCCACACUGGGACUGAGACACGGCCCAGACUCCUACGGGAGGCAGCAGUGGGGAAUAUUGGACAAUGGGGGGAACCCUGAUCCAGCCAUGCCGCGUGUGUGAAGAAGGCCUUAUGGUUGUAAAGCACUUUAAGCGAGGAGGAGGCUACUGAGACUAAUACUCUUGGAUAGUGGACGUUACUCGCAGAAUAAGCACCGGCUAACUCUGUGCCAGCAGCCGCGGUAAUACAGAGGGUGCGAGCGUUAAUCGGAUUUACUGGGCGUAAAGCGUGCGUAGGCGGCUUUUUAAGUCGGAUGUGAAAUCCCCGAGCUUAACUUGGGAAUUGCAUUCGAUACUGGGAAGCUAGAGUAUGGGAGAGGAUGGUAGAAUUCCAGGUGUAGCGGUGAAAUGCGUAGAGAUCUGGAGGAAUACCGAUGGCGAAGGCAG
rnacentral:rRNA from 1 species